GGGUGUAUUACAUGAUUGGAAUGAUGAGGAAUGUUUAAAUAUUCUAAAGAAAUGCAAGGAAGCAAUAGAGAGCAAAGGAAAAGAAGGGAAAGUGAUAAUCAUAGAUGCAGUGGUGGGGAAUGAGAAGGAAGACAAAGAAUCAUUUGCAGCACAAUUGUUCUAUGAUUUGGAGAUGAUGGUUUUAGUCAAUGGAAAAGAGAGAAAUGAGAAAGAAUGGUCUAAGCUGUUUUUCUCUGCUGGUUUUAGUAACUACAAGAUAACUCAUGGUCUUGGUUUUAAGUCUCUCAUUGAAGUUUUUCCUUAGUAGUUAGUUGUAAUUGAAGUAGUCCCCAUUAUAAGGACCUAUAAUCCUUUGUUUUGUUGGUGUGUCUGAACUUCUUGUGUGUAAUUGUGAGGUGCAAAUUCUCUCCCUCGUAAAGCUGUU
rnacentral:lncRNA from 1 species